AUGACUUCCGCAACACGUUUUUAUUAUUGACGUCUGAAACUAACAUGACUAGCUAGCUCUAUUGACUAUUAGACUUUAAUUUACAGUCUGGUAUAUAGACGCUAGAUAUUUCAUCACGAUUCAAGGAAUCUUAGCCACAUACAUGGAGGAAAGAGUUAACUGUGGUGGAGACUACAGUUUGGGUCUAUCUAAGAUCAAGAAGCAUGUGAUUGUCUGUUCUACAACAUUAUCUCUUGACAGCCUGAUAGACUUCCUGAAUGAGUUUUAUGGUAAUCCUAACUUAGAGAUUAACAAUUGACAUCCCCCCAUGACAAUGUCAUCAGGUUUUGGCAAAACAAACUUUCACAUAGGCUAGAACCAAGAUCUUUGUGCUGCUUAGAAUGGGGAAAUUGGGAAAGGUCUGUCCACAUUGUGCUUACAAGAAUGCCACCAGGUGACAUAACCAGUUAGUUAAACUCUUGGCAGAGCAUGCUUCAGGAGGAAUAUUCAACUUCAUUCCCUUGUGAUCUUCUUCCAUUGACCCAUAUGCUUUCAGUCCAAUAGUUGUGUUACUUGAAGACCAGCCUGACGCUUUGUUUGUUCCUGGAUACAUUAGCUCAUUUCCCAUUGGUCUAUUACAUGACUGAAAGUAUUUGGAGGGUGCCAGUGUUGGAGUUGUGGGCGUCGCUUGCCAGUGUCAUUGUCAAAUUGACGAUUAUCUGAGGUCUAACUUUACUAUUACCGAGGUUGGUAGUUUUGUGACGCCCGUCGGUUAGAGUCUGGUGGACCAUAAAACCAGGGUGACAAGUUGAUAACAGUAGCAAAGAGGCACAAAUCCACAUCUGGGUCACAUUUGGGUGAAAUUUUCUGCUUACUGUUUGCUGUGGGUCAUUUCUUCUCAGCCAGCAUGUUAGACAACUCUGUUAUAUCAGACAUUCACCAAGAGUUAACUCAUCUCUUUUAUUUGACUUUUGCUGGGCAUUUAAUGGAGAACAAGGUUCUGGACAUUUGUCAAGUGGCUGAAGGCUACUCCAUGAUGGGCAGCCUAUGUCAUCACCAAGCCAGCGUCUAACUGUUAACUCCUUGUUGGGGACAUUGUCUCUGUCCUUCAACCAGCAUCAAUGUGUGUGACUCCCAAGUGGUCUCUCCAGUGUGUACAAGCAUUGGAGCAGAAAACAAGGUGACAAGAUGGAGAAGGGUCAGUCCACUCCUAAAAGAAGCACACUAUAAUGAAUACACAGGUGUUUGUGUACAACUUGUUGAAUUUUUCACUCACAUCUACUUUAGUCUCUUGAUGGGUAGCAAAGACAUAAGCCUUUAACUGACUGAGCCAAGGCUUAGGCCCUGAAUAGUUACAUGUAGUCUGGGCGUCAUCAUCAAGUUCAAGGUUAAAAUAUGGACAGCUUUCAGUAAACUCUCACCAGAGGUCAUUUCUGGCUGGAGAGAUUUUUUAUAGAGUAAAAGUGAAGACUGUGUGUGGAAGUUUGCCAGAGGCAAGCUUUGGAUUUCUUUCAUAGAGCAAGGGACAACACUCUCAAUACCUUUUGAUAUCAUUCCAACACCUAUAGCUGUGGUGAGACUAUUUCGAGGUCUCAGGAAUGUAUUUCUUAUCAAUUGGUAAUCAUGCAUCACGUGCCCUCAGAUAUGUACAAAAAAUGAAGUUUGAGAAGAAAGAGAAAGGAUCAAGAUGAUUUACAAGACACUAAAGAAGUUAUCUAUCAACUAUACUCAAUGUAUAGACGACUUGCAGCCAGACUAGAAUUAUAGAGUAAGAUGUUUUUCUGCUGGCUAAACAUGUAUGGAUUGUUUUGAGUUUUGCAAGUGCUGCUGUUGUCUAGGCAAUUCUGGCCAGUAGUUCAGGUUUGGUUCCUUCAUCUGAGACAAAAACUCCAAGGGUCUGUUCCAUCACAUCCAGUCAAUAAAGGAAUAAUAUCUAUGAUGUCAGACAACAAUAAAGACCCAUUUCUGUAGAAGAAGAUCUCACUACCAUGAACACUCUAGGGCUAGGAUGAGUUGUGAUAAAGACCUAAACAAACAUUGCAAGGAGAUGCUUAGUGUUAGGGUUGUGUUUUUACAUAUUAAUGAUCUCUUGGCCCCCUGAAAGAUGAGUUCACACAAUAUCAGGAUAGCUCUAAACGGGACAUGAUGCCAGUAAAAUGAGAAAAUAGAGUGGAAGAGAGUCCAAAGUUUGUUUUGCUCCCUAUUCAAUAGAGAACAAAGUUAACAUUAGCAAUGGAGAUAAAAGGAAUCUCUAAAACAAUAAUUCUUAUCAAAAUCCAACAAUCUCUAUUCAAAAUAUUAAUCUAAGCAGUAACAUGACAACUAUUUGAACCAAAGAGUGAAGGUCACGUGAGGACAGUUUUCAACACUAGAGUUACAGUACUAGUCCUCGGUGGAAUCAAGGAGUCAUUAAAGAAUCAUUCUGGAAGAUCAAAUUAAUACAAGCACUGAACAGCAGACAGGAAUGGAAAAUAUGGCCAACAGAUCUUGUGUGGUGCCCCAAUGGUCAAACAACUAAGGGAUAGAUAAUGAUGCAGAGAAUUUCCUGGUGAUAAAGAAUUAGGAGCUGCACACAGUUUAAUGAAACCAUAUUUUAGGAACAGAUAGAAAACAAAGAACUGCAGCAAAGAUGGCCUGUUUUUAUUCUUCUUCAU